rnacentral:rRNA from 1 species
AUUGAACGCUGGCGGCAUGCCUUACACAUGCAAGUCGAACGGCAGCGCGGGAGCAAUCCUGGCGGCGAGUGGCGAACGGGUGAGUAAUACAUCGGAACGUGCCCAAUCGUGGGGGAUAACGCAGCGAAAGCUGUGCUAAUACCGCAUACGAUCUACGGAUGAAAGCAGGGGAUCGCAAGACCUUGCGCGAAUGGAGCGGCCGAUGGCAGAUUAGGUAGUUGGUGAGGUAAAGGCUCACCAAGCCUUCGAUCUGUAGCUGGUCUGAGAGGACGACCAGCCACACUGGGACUGAGACACGGCCCAGACUCCUACGGGAGGCAGCAGUGGGGAAUUUUGGACAAUGGGCGAAAGCCUGAUCCAGCCAUGCCGCGUGCAGGAUGAAGGCCUUCGGGUUGUAAACUGCUUUUGUUCGGAACGAAACGGUCUUUUCUAAUAAAGAAGGCUAAUGACGGUACCGUAAGAAUAAGCACCGGCUAACUACGUG